rnacentral:rRNA from 1 species
UACGUAGGGGGCAAGCGUUGUCCGGAUUUAUUGGGCGUAAAGAGCGUGUAGGCGGCCAGGUAGGUCUGCUGUGAAAACUCGAGGCUCAACCUCGAGAUGUCGGCGGAAACCAUCUGGCUGGAGUCCGGAAGAGGAGAAUGGAAUUCCCGGUGUAGCGGUGAAAUGCGCAGAUAUCGGGAAGAACACCCGUGGCGAAGGCGGUUCUCUGGGACGGUACUGACGCUGAGACGCGAAAGCGUGGGGAGCGAACAGG